rnacentral:lncRNA from 7 species
ACACCCCAUGUGGUAUCUGACUUGUUUGUAUUGGCCUUUCUACUCAGCACAGGCUGCUUUCAUGGUGGCUGAUAAAUGUCUGUUUUUUGUGGAGCCCAAUACCUAUUUCUGCCCCUUCCCACGUGCUUCAGAUGUUCAUCAGCCCACAGAACACAACUAAGAGAUUACUCCAAAUCACAUCAAGCAACCGCUGUGGGAGGCAGCAGUGUGAUCAGAGCGAAGCUGUCCCAGGGAUAGAAGGAGGUACUGGGGCCGAACCUGUAGGGAUGAUUAGAGCGGGUUUGAGGUCCUUUCCAACCCAAACCAUUCUAUGAUCCUUUUUUGAUGGUCUUUCAGUGAGCUGAAAUAAUGCAUUUCUUAUUCCACUGCUGUCCAACCUACUUUGUCAUGCCAAGGAAACCCUGAGAGGUGUUUUGUCGUCAUCUUGUUAUCAAUUCCUUCCUCCCACUGCACUUCCCACACGAGGGGCUAUGUAGAACCUACCAGUCACUUGGUGGAGCUAAGGAAACUUUCGGAAGGUGUGGGGCAUAUCACUCUGGGCUUUAUUCUUGAGCACUGUCAGAGCUUUAAGUUGUGAGCAAACUCUUGCUACCAGGCAGAAAGCAUCUCUCAAAAGUGAGGAUUUAUUUGUUUAACUAAAGCAAAACUUUCUUCUCUUUCAGUUUGAUUAUAUAGCAAAAAUGAAAUUCAGGAUUUCCUGAUUGAUUUUGAAGAAAGCAAAUGCAUGCUGCUGCCUUAUGAGGAGUGCCUCAGUUUUCACUGUGGUGGUGGAGGGAAAACGGCUUCGGUUACUCAGUAUGGAUAAUCAGUGCUCUGAGUCAAGUAUGUAGAUACGAAUCAGUCAUACAGAACUUCACACGUACACAUCUACUCUGUGAAAACUGGAAGUUUUUUAUAGUUCUGCUUUGUGAACUAUCACACCACCCUAAAAGUGCACUCAAAAAGCUUGUUUGGAUUUGAUGGGUGAAAAGGUGGGGGGUUGCAGUUACUGUCUAGGGAAGGUUGAUCUCUCCUUACUAUUUUAAAUCUAGAUGUUCAUAUCUGUACUGAUUAACAUACAUAUAUAGUAUAAAAUAUUACAUGUUCUAGGAGGUGAUGGCACUCUGUGUGCCACUGGUGACGUUGGAAUGGCCCACCUCUCUUAACAGUCUAUGGUGUAUGGUUUCUAAUGAGCAUGAAAAAUUGAAUCAAUUGAAUUAAUAAAUUCCCUUAUCCAGUUACGGUGAGACUUCUUAAAUAGAAUUCCUUCUGUCCAUUACUUCUCCUCCUCUCUCCCAACCUUCCUUCAACUCCCUACAUGCUCAUUUCGGUUCUGAUUAAGUGUCAUUGAGGCCACGCUCAAGAGUGCACAUAAAACAAGAAUUUUAAAGUUCUGCUUUAAUAAGAACCACCAGUUGAACAAUUUCUCAUUUUGGGUCUGCUUUGGGACUCCUAGGGAUGCUAAUGCCUGUUAAUUUAAACUUCUUAUCAGCAGACUAGCAAGACCAUUCACACAUUUUCCAGAGACACCACAGGAUUUAGGCUGUUGUCCUAAUUGCUAUUGUUCAGGCAGCCAGCUAUUAUAUUUACCACAAGCUGUUUUCAUCUUGUUGGGUUGUUUUCAUCUUGUUGGGAGCCUGGUGCCAAACUGAAAAACAACACCUACCUUGACAACUUGUCGCCUUCCGGAAGCUGAAGCAAUUACACUAUAGGAUGCAGACAAGCUAUACAAAUGGUGUAAGCUUUUGGCUGUGUUUUCAAUAGAUGGUGAAUCUGUUUUUAGGGAAAUGACGGUAAGCACUACACAGUGCUUAGCUCCAUGACGCUAAGCACUACACACAGUCUUUCUUCAAGGUUUUUUGUUUGUUUAUUUGUUUAAUUGGUGAACAUCUUGGUCAAUCAGCUAUGUUUGUGACCGACCAUGUUUUCUAUACUUGAUCAGAUCUGAACUCAAUGACUCUGUCAGAGAUAAGAAAUCUGUGAGGCAGAGAAGCUCAUCUGCUUAGAAGAAUACAACGUUUGCACAGUCAUGAUAGUACCAGUCUGAGAAAUGAUUUAUUUUCUUCCAUUCUCGUUCCUUGGUUCAGUUUAGGGGAGGAUAGGGAAACGUGUCCUGGGCAGGAGAUCCCACAUUUUAGGCAAUAAAUUCCUGUAAGACUGUGAUCAUUCAUAAAACUGAACCCUAAUUGACUUCCAAAACUGCUUUCCUCUCUUUUGUUUUUCUGGAUAUAGGCAUUAAACUGCUUUAAAAAUAAAACUCAGAUUACAACUCAGACUUCUCUGCAGACAUUCAUUUGCUUUGGAAAAAAUUAUAGAUACUUGCCCUCAAUUUAAAUCAAAUUUGAGGCUGUAAAAAACAAAGAAAC